rnacentral:rRNA from 1 species
UACGAAGGGGGCGAGCGUUGUUCGGAAUUACUGGGCGUAAAGGGCGCGCAGGCGGCCUUAGAAGUCAGAUGUGAAAGCCCCGGGCUCAACCUGGGAAUGGCAUUUGAUACUCUGAGGCUGGAGUACGGGAGAGGAGAGUGGAAUUCCCAGUGUAGAGGUGAAAUUCGUAGAUAUUGGGAAGAACACCGGUGGCGAAGGCGGCUACUCUGGACCGUAACUGACGCUGAGGCGCGAAAGCGUGGGGAGCAACAGG